GAUGAGUAGGGCGGGACACGUGGUAUCCUGUCUGAAUAUGGGGGGACCAUCCUCCAAGGCUAAAUACUCCUGACUGACCGAUAGUGAACCAGUACCGUGAGGGAAAGGCGAAAAGAACCCCGGCGAGGGGAGUGAAAAAGAACCUGAAACCGUGUACGUACAAGCAGUGGGAGCACAGAGCAAUCUGUGUGACUGCGUACCUUUUGUAUAAUGGGUCAGCGACUUAUAUUCUGUAGCAAGGUUAACCGAAUAGGGGAGCCGAAGGGAAACCGAGUCUUAACUGGGCGUUAAGUUGCAGGGUAUAGACCCGAAACCCGGUGAUCUAGCCAUGGGCAGGUUGAAGGUUGGGUAACACUAACUGGAGGACCGAACCGACUAAUGUUGAAAAAUUAGCGGAUGACUUGUGGCUGGGGGUGAAAGGCCAAUCAAACCGGGAGAUAGCUGGUUCUCCCCGAAAGCUAUUUAGGUAGCGCCUCGUGAAUUCAUCUCCGGGGGUAGAGCACUGUUUCGGCAAGGGGGUCAUCCCGACUUACCAACCCGAUGCAAACUGCGAAUACCGGAGAAUGUUAUCACGGGAGACACACGGCGGGUGCUAACGUCCGUCGUGAAGAGGGAAACAACCCAGACCGCCAGCUAAGGUCCCAAAGUCAUGGUUAAGUGGGAAACGAUGUGGGAAGGCCCAGACAGCCAGGAUGUUGGCUUAGAAGCAGCCAUCAUUUAAAGAAAGCGUAAUAGCUCACUGGUCGAGUCGGCCUGCGCGGAAGAUGUAACGGGGCUAAACCAUGCACCGAAGCUGCGGCAGCGACGCUUAUGCGUUGUUGGGUAGGGGAGCGUUCUGUAAGCCUGUGAAGGUGUACUGUGAGGUAUGCUGGAGGUAUCAGAAGUGCGAAUGCUGACAUAAGUAACGAUAAAGCGGGUGAAAAGCCCGCUCGCCGGAAGACCAAGGGUUCCUGUCCAACGUUAAUCGGGGCAGGGUGAGUCGACCCCUAAGGCGAGGCCGAAAGGCGUAGUCGAUGGGAAACAGGUUAAUAUUCCUGUACUUGGUGUUACUGCGAAGGGGGGACGGAGAAGGCUAUGUUGGCCGGGCGACGGUUGUCCCGGUUUAAGCGUGUAGGCUGGUUUUCCAGGCAAAUCCGGAAAAUCAAGGCUGAGGC
rnacentral:rRNA from 1 species